rnacentral:rRNA from 1 species
GGGGGGGGGGGGGGGGGGGGGGGGGAGAGGCAGGGCGGGCGGAGAGGCGAGGAGCGUGCGCCUCGGACGUUAGCGGCGGACGGGUGAGUAACACGUGGAUAACCUACCUAUAAGACGGGGAGAACUUCGGGAAACCGGAGCUAAUACCGGAUAAUAUAUUGAACCGCAUGGUUCAAUAGUGAAAGACGGUUUUGCUGUCACUUAUAGAUGGAUCCGCGCCGCAUUAGCUAGUUGGUAAGGUAACGGCUUACCAAGGCGACGAUGCGUAGCCGACCUGAGAGGGUGAUCGGCCACACUGGAACUGAGACACGGUCCAGACUCCUACGGGAGGCAGCAGUAGGGAAUCUUCCGCAAUGGGCGAAAGCCUGACGGAGCAACGCCGCGUGAGUGAUGAAGGUCUUCGGAUCGUAAAACUCUGUUAUUAGGGAAGAACAAAUGUGUAAGUAACUAUGCACGUCUUGACGGUACCUAAUCAGAAAGCCACGGCUAACUACGUG